rnacentral:rRNA from 1 species
UACGUAGGGUGCGGAGCGUUGUCCGGAAUUACUGGGCGUAAAGAGCUCGUAGGCGGUUUGUCGCGUCUGCUGUGAAAUCCCGAGGCUCAACCUCGGGCCUGCAGUGGGUACGGGCAGACUAGAGUGCGGUAGGGGAGAUUGGAAUUGCCUGGUGUAGCGGUGGAAUGCGCAGAAUAUCAGGAGGAACACCGAUGGCGAAGGCAGAUCUCUGGGACCGUAACUGACGCUGAGGAGCGAAAGCGUGGGGAGCGAACAGGGA